UUAGUGGAAGCGUCUGGAAAGGCGCGCGAUACAGGGUGACAGCCCCGUACACAAAAGCGCAUAUGCUGUGAGCUCGAUGAGUAGGGCGGGACACGUGGUAUCCUGUCUGAAUAUGGGGGGACCAUCCUCCAAGGCUAAAUACUCCUGACUGACCGAUAGUGAACCAGUACCGUGAGGGAAAGGCGAAAAGAACCCCGGCGAGGGGAGUGAAAAAGAACCUGAAACCGUGUACGUACAAGCAGUGGGAGCCCCACCACUAAGCCAGUGGUGAACUCCACAUACGCAUCCUUUGCUGAGGAUACGGUUAACGGAGCGAAAGCGACGUUCAACCGCAAAAGAAGCAGAGGGGGCUUAGUGGUGGGGUGACUGCGUACCUUUUGUAUAAUGGGUCAGCGACUUAUAUUCUGUAGCAAGGUUAACCGAAUAGGGGAGCCGGAGGGAAACCGAGUCUUAACCGGGCGUUAAGUUGCAGGGUAUAGACCCGAAACCCGGUGAUCUAGCCAUGGGCAGGUUGAAGGUUGGGUAACACUAACUGGAGGACCGAACCGACUAAUGUUGAAAAAUUAGCGGAUGACCUGUGGCUGGGGGUGAAAGGCCAAUCAAACCGGGAG
rnacentral:rRNA from 1 species